rnacentral:rRNA from 1 species
CACGUAGGGCGCAAGCGUUGUCCGGAAUUACUGGGCGUAAAGGGCUCGUAGGCGGCCAACUAAGUCGGAUGUGAAAUCCCCAGGCUUAACCUGGGAACUGCAUCCGAUACUGGAUGGCUUGAAUCCGGGAGAGGGAUGCAGAAUUCCAGGUGUAGCGGUGAAAUGCGUAGAUAUCUGGAGGAAUACCGGUGGCGAAGGCGGCAUCCUGGACCGGCAUUGACGCUGAUGAGCGAAAGCUAGGGGAGCAAACGGG